AUACGGAGGAUGCGAGCGUUAUCCGGAUUUAUUGGGUUUAAAGGGAGCGUAGGUGGGAUAUUAAGUCAGCUGUGAAAGUUUGGGGCUCAACCUUAAAGUUGCAGUUGAUACUGGUUUCCUUGAGUACGGUAUAGGUGGGCGGAAUUCGUGGUGUAGCGGUGAAAUGCUUAGAUAUCACGAAGAACUCCGAUCGCGAAGGCAGCUCACCGGGCCGGAACUGACACUGAUGCUCGAAAGUGCGGGUAUCAAACAGGAUUAGAUACCCUGGUAGUCCACACAGUAAACUAUGAAUACUCGCUGUUUGCGAUAUACAGUAAGCGGCCAAGCGAAAGCAUUAAGUAUUCCACCUGGGGAGUACGCCGGCAACGGUGAAACUCAAAUGAAUUGACGGGG
rnacentral:rRNA from 1 species